UGAAUAACCAUUUCUUAAUACUUCUGUGAUCAAUUUUUCAUGCUUUCCGGAGAUGAUUUGAACAGAGGGAAAAAGGGUGAAACUCAUCGCUUACAACGUAAAACCACUGAGUAUAAGGAUAGAAAUAAUAUCAGGCUUCGAGGAAUUUCUGGAAACAGUCAUAUCUCAAACCUCGAGGGGGAGGGGAUCGCUGAAUCACAUACUAUGUAUAAAUAGUCGCCUAUAAUAAUCGUUGUUGUUAGUUAUUCAGUGAGUUUCGAUUUAUACACAUUUAUUUAUUCAACUUAUCUUUCACGUGAGUUUUUCUCAUCGAACAACAUAUCAAAAUUUUGUACACGGUUCGGAAUUUUCGAAGAUUUCUCUGCUAUAAAUUCAGCAACAGUACAGGAUCAAAUAUGAAGAACAUUGCAAUUUUCGUAAUUGGUAUUUUCAUCGCAAGUGCUAUUGGGACUCCAAUAAAUGAGCCACUUUCAUCACAAAAUUCUGCGGAGAAUGAAAUAGUAUCCAAUUCAGCAUCUAUUUUGGAGGUUAAAGAACACGAACCCAAUUCAUAUGAAAUGGUGGAUGAGCUACACAAAUGCGCCGUAGUAAUGUUUUAUGGAUAUCAAAAGUGCAACCUUCAGUGUAUAGGGUAUUGUCAAUGGAAAAAAUGUGGCUCAUUCAAAAAAUGCGAUAAGAUACCAGGCACAAAAACGAGGAAAGGCAGUAAAUACGCGUGCUAUUGCCAGCAAUCAGAGCCGAAAAUGAUGAUAAAGGAUGAAUUAGAAUUGGACAAGACUUUUGCAAGUGUAGAAAAUGCAAAUAUUCUGGAAGCACCGGCAAAAAAUACCACAAUUCCGAAGUUGACGAACUCUCCAGAACUUGAAGAACUUGAAAACCCAGAUUAUGAAGAGUGAAAGUUGCCACUGUAAAUUAGCACUUAUUCUAAUUUUUAAUGAAAGAGUUUGUAAAAAUUCAUACGAGUAUGAUAUUAUUCAAAUAUAGA